rnacentral:rRNA from 1 species
GACGUAGGGCGCGAGCGUUGUCCGGAUUUAUUGGGCGUAAAGAGCUCGUAGGCGGCUUGUCGCGUCGACUGUGAAAACCCGCGGCUCAACUGCGGGCCUGCAGCCGAUACGGGCAGGCUAGAGUUCGGUAGGGGAGACUGGAAUUCCUGGUGUAGCGGUGAAAUGCGCAGAUAUCAGGAGGAACACCUGUGGUGUAGACAGCUUACUGGACGGUGACUGACGCUGAGGCACGAAAGCGUGGGUAGCAAACAGG